AUUGAACGCUGGCGGCAUGCUUUACACAUGCAAGUCGAACGGUAACAGGUUAAGCUGACGAGUGGCGAACGGGUGAGUAAUGCAUCGGAACGUGCCCGGUCGUGGGGGAUAACGCAGCGAAAGCUGCGCUAAUACCGCAUACGAUCUGAGGAUGAAAGCGGGGGACCGUAAGGCCUCGCGCGAUCGGAGCGGCCGAUGUCAGAUUAGGUAGUUGGUGAGGUAAAGGCUCACCAAGCCGACGAUCUGUAGCUGGUCUGAGAGGACGACCAGCCACACUGGGACUGAGACACGGCCCAGACUCCUACGGGAGGCAGCAGUGGGGAAUUUUGGACAAUGGGCGCAAGCCUGAUCCAGCAAUGCCGCGUGCAGGAAGAAGGCCUUCGGGUUGUAAACUGCUUUUGUACGGAGCGAAAAGGCUCUCUCUAAUACAGGGGGCUCAUGACGGUACCGUAAGAAUAAGCACCGGCUAACUACGUGCCAGCAGCCGCCGUAACAC
rnacentral:rRNA from 1 species